rnacentral:sRNA from 1 species
CGCUGCCCGCGUGAGGGAUGGCAGCGGCAUCCUUUUUUGCCGGGUAAAACCCGGAAAAAAGAUAUAGCGUACAGCCCGGCCCGAA